rnacentral:lncRNA from 1 species
AGAGAGAGAGAGAUGGGGGGAAUGAUAGCAGGCGCGGGGCUUGGGGACCUGCUGCUGUUGGCUGGGGCGCAGAUGGCGGUGGGGCCUGCUCCCGCGGCGCCUUGAGGCCACGGCUCCGGUGCUGCUGCGGCGGGGAGCAGCUCCGACGGUGUCAGGCAGCCCUCCGGCAGAGGCGCUGGGUACCAUGACGGGCACAUGGCACUCCUGUCCAUGCGAGGUUGUGGCUUGAGGCCUCGGUCGCCGCGGACGAGGAUGGCUUGAGGGUGCGGUAGCGGGAUGAGC